GUAUACACAUGAUGAAUGGAACAUAGUUAUGGAUAAGGAAAAAGAAAAAUACAAGAGCAACACACAGUAUCCUUCACCUCUUUACAUGCGUUGCCCUCUUUGACUCUCACUAUCUCUUCCUCUU
rnacentral:ribozyme from 14 species